AUGUAUGAGAUUUAUUUUGUCCUUAGAAACCAACUUGAAAACUUCAUUGUUGAUGUGAGAGCCGAUUCAAGUUUUGUUAGUUGUAAUGACCUUGGUAGUCUAGCUGUGAAGAUGGUUCAGACUGAUAGACACAUGGUCUUUCCUUUGGUAUAUCGUCUUAUUGAGUUGGCAUCGAUUUUGCCUGUUGCAACCGCAUCAGUGGAAAGAACUUUCUCAGCUAUGAGUAUUAUCAAGACUGAGUUGAGGAAUAAGAUGGGUGAUGAUUGGUUGAAUUGUCCCAUGGUGUGCAAUAUUGAGCGAGAAAGAUUUGCAAAGGUUGAUGAUGAUGCUAUGGUAUAUUGCUUUCAAUCCUAUAGAUCUCACAAAGGAACUUUACCUCGUUGUAGUAGUAAGUUUGUAACUCUGUACAACGUUAAUUGUUUCACUUGA
rnacentral:rRNA from 1 species